rnacentral:rRNA from 1 species
AACGCGAAGAACCUUACCAACUCUUGACAUCCCCCUGACCGGUACAGAGAUGUGCCUUCCCCUUCGGGGGCAGGGGUGACAGGUGGUGCAUGGUUGUCGUCAGCUCGUGUCGUGAGAUGUUGGGUUAAGUCCCGCAACGAGCGCAACCCUUGUCCUUAGUUGCCAGCAUUUGGUUGGGCACUCUAGGGAGACUGCCGGUGACAAACCGGAGGAAGGUGGGGAUGACGUCAAAUCAUCAUGCCCCUUAUGAGUUGGGCUACACACGUGCUACAAUGGACGGUACAAAGGGCAGCGAAGCCGCGAGGUGGAGCCAAUCCCAGAAAGCCGUUCUCAGUUCGGAUUGCAGGCUGCAACUCGCCUGCAUGAAGUCGGAAUCGCUAGUAAUCGCAGGUCAGCAUACUGCGGUGAAUACGUUCCCGGGUCUUGUACACACCG